rnacentral:rRNA from 1 species
CCUACGGGCGGCAGCAGUAGGGAAUUUUGCGCAAUGGGGGAAACCCUGACGCAGCAACACCGCGUGAAUGUUAAGCCCUUCGGGGUGUAAAGUUCUGUCAAUAGGGACGAAUUUUGACUGUACCUAUAACGGAAGCACAGGCUAACUCCGUGCCAGCAGCCGCGGUAAUACGGGGGGUGCAAGCGUUGUCCGGAAUCGUUGGGCGUAAAGCUAUCGUAGGCGGUAUGUCAAGUCUGAUGUUAAAGCCCGGGGCUCAACUGCGGUUCGGCAGUGGAUACUGGCAGACUAGAAUGUGGUAGGGGGAAGGGGAAUUCCAGGUGUAGCGGUGAAAUGCGUAGAUAUCAGGAGGAACAUCGGUGGCGAAGGCGCUUUACUGGACCAUUAUUGACGCUGAGGAACGAAAGCCAGGGGAGCAAAUGGGAUUAGAUACCCGAGUAGUC